CAUAACAAAAGUUCCCUCCCAAGGGAAGAGACUGUGUCAGGUGACAACCCACCUACACCUAUCACUCCCGCCCAGUCCCAGUCCCAUCUUCUCUGUAGUCAUGCUGUGUCGCCCAGGCUGGAGUGCAGUGGUGCAAUCUUGGCUCACUGCAACCUCCACCUCCCGGAUUCAAGCAAUUCUCCUGCCUCAGCCUCACGAGUAGCUGGGAUUACAGGCACCUGCCACCAUGCCCAGGGCCUGUUACAGUGUGCUGGAUGGCAGCAGUUCUAGCGCAGAUGUACUCAUCGCCUGGAAGCACGGAUAAUGAGCUCCACUCCUUUCAUGCUCAGCAGAGCUCAAGCAACACGUAGAGACCUCCGUGCCAAAUGGGAGAAGCCUUUCUCUACAAAUCUGUGCAGACACCUCUACCGCAGAAGCUGAAGAAUGAUUUUUAGAAGAUUAUAAGGCACUCAAGUAUUAAAAACAUUUGUUAGGUAUCAUCUGUGGGCUGAUAGCAUGCAAAGUGCAAGAGAUACAAAGAAAUAAGAUUUAAUCUAAAAGCUUAGGGUCUAAACGCAAAAAAUGUAAAUGUGGAAAAAGAGCUAUAUAAAAGUAGGCUGGAUGUGGUGGCUCACGCCUGUAAUCCCAGCACUUUGGGAGGCCGAGGUGGAUGGAUCACGAGGUCAGGAGUUGGAGACUAGCCUGGCCAACAUAGUGAAACCCCAUCUCUACUAAAAAUACAAAAAAUUAGUCAGGUGUGGUGGCGGGUGCCCGUAAUCUCAGCUACUCGGGAGGCGGAGGCAGGAAAAUCGCUUGAUCCCGGGAGGCGGAGGCUGCAGUAAGCAGAGAUCGUGCCAUAGCACUCCAGCCAAGGCGACAGUGUGAGACUCCGUCUCAAAAAAUAUAUAUAUAUAUACAUAUAUAUAUAUAAUGCGUAUGAUGUGUCCCAACGUAUUCACUGUGGUGUGGUCUUGGAGUUAGAGACUUUGCUGUUCAUCCUGGGGCAAGUUGUCUGGGUGUUUUUGUUGGCUUUUUGUGGUUCUUGGUUUUUGUUUUCGCAUUUUGGGGCUUCAACAAUCUCAUCCUCAUUAUAAAAUUCCUACCUCCAGGGUUAGUGUGAGGAUUUGUAGGCCUCGUGGGACAUGGACAGCGUGGUUGCUCAGUAAACAUUUGCUUCCUUUCUGUGUGGUCAGUGGCUGCUUUGAAAUCCAGCGGAGGCCACGCCCAUGAGGGUUUCAGUGAGAGGUAAGAGAGGAACAGCACUUCCUCUUCUAAUGCAGCUGCAAGCCUCUGAGCACACAUGGGUGGAGUGUCAACAGCACUCUAGCUGUAAUUGAUUGUCAUUAUUGGUCGGAGGAGAUUUCUUGUUCUAACUUUGAGUCAUAGAGGUAUAAAAAUGUCUCGUGUCUAGAGCUUAAAAUAACCCAAGUGAAACAAUAGAUGUUAUUUCAUUAUUAGCAUAGGACAGUGUCCGGCACAUGGUAAGGGUUUAAUAAAUGAUAGUCAUUAUCGUUAUCACUAUCAUCCUUAAUUUUAUACUUGGGAAAGGUGUAAAGCCUAAAAGUUAAAUUAUCCUAAGUCACACAGCUCAUAAAUGGCCUUUGGCUGGCCAUUUGAUUAAUAUUGCUGCUAUAAUUUAUUAGAUUGAAAAUUUGAUUAGGGCUGGAUUGAGGUAAAUUUACUCAAAAUUACUGUUGUAUUUCCAGCAUCUACAGCAGCACAGAAAUAUAACAGAUACUUAUGAAUAUUUGUUGAAUGUGUGUGUGUGUGUGUGUGUGUGUGUGUGUGUGUGUGUGUGUGUGUGUUUAGCAUGGCCUUUUUACCAAGGUAGACCUGGAUUGAAAUCCCAACUCCAGUACCUUCCAGAUAUUAUACAUAAAUUUAGGAAAG